GAAAACUCUGGUGGAUAACUUGGGGUUCAGGCUCAAAGACAACGAAUUUAAGGACCUGACACAGAAUCUCCCUACUGGUGUUCUUAGGAGGGUUUCUCUAGAUACACUGAUGAAAAAGUUGAAAGGUUUUACAGGAGACAAGGUUGACUCCAGUGACCUGAGAAACAUCUUAAAGAACCUGGGGAUUGAACUCACAGAGAAGGAACAAGAAAGAUUGCUGAAAAGCCUGCCCACUGAUG